rnacentral:rRNA from 1 species
AACGAACGCUGGCGGCAGGCCUAACACAUGCAAGUCGAGCGAGGACUUCGGUCCUAGCGGCGGACGGGUGAGUAACGCGUGGGAACGUGCCCUUUGCUUCGGAAUAGCCCUGGGAAACUGGGAGUAAUACCGGAUGAGCCCUUUGGGGGAAAGAUUUAUCGGCGAAGGAUCGGCCCGCGUUGGAUUAGGUAGUUGGUGGGGUAAUGGCCUACCAAGCCGACGAUCCAUAGCUGGUUUGAGAGGAUGAUCAGCCACACUGGGACUGAGACACGGCCCAGACUCCUACGGGAGGCAGCAGUGGGGAAUCUUAGACAAUGGGGGAAACCCUGAUCUAGCCAUGCCGCGUGAGCGAUGAAGGCCUUAGGGUUGUAAAGCUAUUUCAGCUGGGAAGAUAAUGGCGGUACCAGCAGAAGAAGCCCCGGCUAACUCCGUG